rnacentral:rRNA from 1 species
CCUACGGGUGGCAGCAGUGAGGAAUAUUGGUCAAUGGGCGGAAGUCUGAACCAGCCAAGUAGCGUGCAGGAUGACUGCCCUAUGGGUUGUAAACUUCUUUUAUAUGGGAAUAAAAUGUUCCACGUGUGGGGUUCUGUAUGUACCGUAUGAAUAAGGAUCGGCUAACUCCGUGCCAGCAGCCGCGGUAAUACGGAGGAUCCGAGCGUUAUCCGGAUUUAUUGGGUUUAAAGGGAGCGUAGGCGGAUCGUUAAGUCAGUUGUGAAAUUUUGCGGCUCAACCGUAACAUUGCAGUUGAAACUGGCAGUCUUGAGUACAGUAGAGGUAGGCGGAAUUCGUGGUGUAGCGGUGAAAUGCUUAGAUAUCACGAAGAACCCCGAUUGCGAAGGCAGCCCACUGGACUGCAACUGACACUGAGGCUCGAAAGUGCGGGUAUCAAACAGGAUUAGAUACCCUUGUAGUC